CAUUCACUUGCAGUUCUAUGGCCUUACACAAGGGGGCGACUUAGUAUUGCAAAUCAAUCUGGUUGGCCUUUUGUGCAAAGACACAUUUCAAGUUUAGUUAUUAAUCUCUCUCUCCCUCUGUGUGUCUGUCUGUCUCUCUCCCUCUGUGUGUCUGUCUCUCUCCCUCUGUGUGUCUCUCUCUCCCUCUGUGUGUCUCUCUCUCCCUCUGUGUGUCUGUCUCUCUCCCUCUGUGUGUCUGUCUCUCUCCCUCUGUGUGUCUGUCUCUCUCCCUCUGUGUGUCUGUCUCUCUCCCUCUGUGUGUCUGUCUGUCUGUCUCUCUCCCUCUGUGUGUCUGUCUGUCUGUCUCUCUCCCUCUGUGUGUCUGUCUCUCUCCCUCUGUGUGUCUGUCUCUCUCUCCCUCUGUGUGUCUCUCUCUCUCCCUCUGUGUGUCUCUCUCUCUCCCUCUGUGUGUCUGUCUCUCCCUCUCCCUCUGUGUGUCUGUCUCUCUCUCUCCCUCUGUGUGUCUGUCUCUCUCUCCCUCUGUGUGUCUGUCUCUCUCUCCCUCUGUGUGUCUGUCUCUCUCUCCCUCUGUGUGUCUGUCUCUCUCUCCCUCUGUGUGUCUGUCUCUCUCUCCCUCUGUGUGUCUGUCUCUCUCUCCCUCUGUGUGUCUGUCUCUCUCCCUCUGUGUGUCUGUCUCUCUCCCUCUGUGUGUCUGUCUCUCUCCCUCUGUGUGUCUGUCUCUCUCCCUCUGUGUGUCUGUCUCUCUCCCUCUGUGUGUCUGUCUCUCUCCCUCUGUGUGUCUGUCUGUCUGUCUCUCUCCCUCUGUGUGUCUGUCUCUCUCUCCCUCUGUGUGUCUGUCUCUCUCUCCCUCUGUGUGUCUGUCUCUCUCUCCCUCUGUGUGUGUGUCUCUCUCUCUCCCUCUGUGUGUGUGUCUCUCUCUCUCCCUCUGUGUGUCUGUCUCUCUCUCUCCCUCUGUGUGUCUGUCUCUCUCUCUCCCUCUGUGUGUCUGUCUGUCUCUCUCUCCCUCUGUGUGUCUGUCUGUCUCUCUCCCUCUGUGUGUCUGUCUGUCUCUCUCCCUCUGUGUGUCUGUCUGUCUCUCUCCCUCUGUGUGUCUGUCUGUCUCUCUCCCUCUGUGUGUCUCUGUCUCUCUCUCCCUCUGUGUGUCUCUGUCUCUCUCUCCCUCUGUGUGUGUGUGUGUCUCUGUCUCUCUCUCCCUCUGUGUGUGUGUGUGUGUGUGUGUCUGGCUCUCUCUCCCUCUGUGUGUGUGUGUGUCUGUCUCUCUCUCCCUCUGUGUGUGUGUCUGUCUCUCUCUCCCUCUGUGUGUGUGUGUCUGUCUCUCUCUCCCUCUGUGUGUGUGUGUGUGUGUGUGUCUGUCUCCCUCUGUGUGUCUGGGAUGGUAGACCUAAGGUUUGGUUUUACAGUUUGAGUUUCCAGUUUUAUUAG
rnacentral:lncRNA from 1 species